rnacentral:lncRNA from 1 species
UUUUUUUUUUGACUAAAAAGAUAACGAUAUUCAUUCAUUCCAAUAAUUGAUAUAGUACAUCAGAUCCAAAUACACAUUCAACAUCGCUAAAAACAAAAAGGAUGAAUCUGCGAACAAACUCACAGCAUCCGUGUUAAUAGCAUACAACGGCAAAAUGCCUACAAAUAAUAAUAUGAUAAAACUAAAGUCACCGAAAUAUCCAUGCUUCCGGAU